rnacentral:rRNA from 1 species
UACCCCUAUUUUAAGUUCCAGUUCGAUAUGUCGCUGUCCCGCCCUUCGUCGCCUCUGCCGCUGCGGCCUGGGUGUGGCGGCGGACGCGGUCCGGAGCGCGGCAGCGGGAGGGAGCUAGGUAGCCGCCAAAGGUGGAGCGGCGGGGGCGAAGUCGGCCGUGCCGUCGGCGGCGACUGGGGGUAGCAGUUCAUGUGCCUACUUCCUGGCCUACAACUACUGCUAACCGGACUCCUGCUCCUACUACUGACCGGGCUCCUGCUCCUAGUUCCUGACCUACUACUACUAACCGGACUUCUGCUUCUACUACUCCCAACCCUCCAAUACGUUCUCCUACUCCUACUUAAUGGUCUACUCCUCUUUAAGAUGUAAAGUAACAAAUACUCGCGAGUUUUCUUCUUAGAGGGCGUACUAGAACAAGCCGUACUGAGCCACGGCGAGUUGUUUUUACUUAUAAAAAGAGACACCCUUUUAACCUUAGUCGACGACCUACCGUUCUCUUGUAUGGAGGCUGGUGGCUUCCUGACGGCAUAAGAGUCACAGUCACCGCAAAAGGCCACAGGCCUACGAGCGGGUUCCUGUAAUCCUACGUUCCUUGGUGAGAACCUAAACCAAGUCCUAAUAGGUCUAUUACUGUAAAAGGUCCUUUAUUAGUUCUAAGAAACAGUCGCGAUAAACGUGUAGUCUGCUUGAGCGCCUCUACCGUUGAUAAAGAUGUCUCGAAAGAAAAAGAGGAUGAACCUUUUAGAACCUGUUUACGUUCUAUCAGUUCGACUUCAAUGAGCGGAUUACCUUGUACACCGUCACAGGUCUCUCUCAAAGACAGCAGACUUUACCCUGUUUCGUAUGAAGAAUUUAGGACUUCUUAUGAAAAGUUCACAACGAAGACUCAACUUAGUAAACCAGUUAAGACAACGUUUACCAGACUCAAGACUGCUCAACAUGUUCUCUUCAGAUGUCCUCUAGUACGGUGAGUCCUAGUAAAGAAACGAUUCUAACGACCGUCUCUGUCUAGGCAUGAGCUCUUCGACUAAUGUUUAGUAAAUAGGGACCUUUAUACUUACAGUUAGUCAUGACGAUGUUCCUCCACGCGGGGGACCUACAAUUUGGUUGCUACAACCGUUACUCCCGAAAUUGUAUACGUGAACCGUAGGGCGACGUUGAACUUUAAGACCCGUCUCGGAACUACCGACCUCUAAACGUUCAUUUCGCGGAACUAAAGAAGGGAGCUAGUCUCAGUCCCUUCCCACGAAAGGUAUACCAGGUUUCGAUGACCAGGAGUUGGAGUUGGGGACUUGGUGACCUCGACCCUUCACCGUUGGACAAUAAUAGACUACCGUGUGGUAACGACUGGAACGACACAGCCAGACUCCUGACGCUGUAAGAAAUAGCGUUCACUUGACACGUCCAUAAAUAAAUUUUUUUUUGACACGUUCAUAAGACAUCCGAUGAACUGUUUUUCGUAAGGAUCUCCUACCGUGUAAUUUAGAUAACUAUCAGAUUAUGUCGUACCGGUACAUCCAAAAAUGACCGUAGACUAGAGUUAGAUGAACACUUCAACACGAAUGAGUAAACUCUUUUUCGUUACUCGACAAAAUAAGCGAAACCUUACAAAUCACUUCAUCAGAAAUUGAUCC